rnacentral:rRNA from 1 species
AACGAACGCUGGCGGCAUGCCUAACACAUGCAAGUCGAACGAGACCUUCGGGUCUAGUGGCGCACGGGUGCGUAACGCGUGGGAAUCUGCCCCUUGGUUCGGAAUAACUUCGGGAAACUGAAGCUAAUACCGGAUAAUGACGUAAGUCCAAAGAUUUAUCGCCAAGGGAUGAGCCCGCGUAGGAUUAGCUAGUUGGUAGGGUAAAGGCUCACCAAGGCGACGAUCCUUAGCUGGUCUGAGAGGAUGAUCAGCCGACACUGGGACUGAGACACGGCCCAGACUCCUACGGGAGGCAGCAGUGGGGAAUAUUGGACAAUGGGCGAAAGCCUGAUCCAGCAAUGCCGCGUGAGUGAUGAAGGCCUUAGGGUUGUAAAGCUCUUUUACCCGGGAAGAUAAUGACUGUACCGGGAGAAUAAGCCCCGGCUAACUCCGUGCCAGCAGCCGCGGUAAU